GUUUAUUUUUUUAUUUAUUUAUUGUGGUGGAACAGAGCCCUUGAUUAGGUCCGGUACAAAAGAAAAAAAGGCAAAAUAAUUAAAAGUAAGACUUUUCAGAUUGCGACGACAGACAGAGUCACUUUCCAUUAUUGUACCACUUGAAAUGUCGACAAUCUUGUCUAUAUAUAUCUUUAAAUCUUUUAUGCUCUCAAAGAACUCCUACAAUUAAACAACUGGUCCUGAGUGACUGAUCAGAGAGCAUUUCAGUAGGAAAUUAGUUAAGUUCAGCUUCUUCAAUAUUUGCUAGCUCAUGGCUUUAGUGGGUAGCUUCAUCGGUAUUCCAAUCAAGAUCACCCAGCAGCACCAGCAGAACCGAAUAUCAAUUAGCAAGCCCUACAGCAUCACCAGAACCACCAUUAUAACAUGCCGUAAACCUUCCCGUAGAGAUAUCAGCAAGGGUCCCCCCGGUGGAAAAACUAACAGCAUUAGGCCAUUGAGGGAGGAGAUAAGAUAUUCUCUUGGAAGCUCACAACCUGGAAAUAAUAAUGCCAAUAAUAUUAAAGGGGAAGUUGGUGUCUCUCCAAAGAAGACUACUUCCACAAAUUAAUAUAUAUACAUAUCUAUAUAUAAAUUGUUGUAAUUUUUUUUC